rnacentral:tRNA from 1 species
AAUAAAGGGCCUGAAAAAAAGGAUUAUUCUGAUAGGAUAAAUUAUGUAAUAUUUUACCUUUAUAA